UUCGGGGAGACCACGGGCCGGGGCUUGCUUUCAUCUUAUAGGAGCGCGCUGUACGUCGGGCGCCGGUAAACGAUCUAUACCGUAGAAUCGGAGAAGAGCAAAGACGGAUCAUUGAGGGCAGGUCGCUUGAACUUCGUCCACUUCUUUUUCUUUAUGUUUCUACUACGUCGUUCCGUGAAUGGCUAGCUGUCCUUGCAAAACGUUCCUCUAGAAACUACUCCGAGAUCCAUUUUCGUAUCCCGUUAGUUUCUUUCUCGCUUAGUACAGCGAAUCCCGGCAAAAGAGAGAACCGGAGCUGCGAUUUCGAAACCCCAGUCUUGAAAUGGGCGGAAAUUGAACGGCUCUGCACUCGUAGCUCGCACAGGACUCCCGAGUUACGAUUUCGCUUUGAAACCGCUUUUAGGGCAGAGCUGCAUUUAAGGAUACAUUACGCUAGUCUAUAUCCCUUUACCUACUUUUAUCUCGCCUUGUUUUGCCUCCCUUUUUCGGUGCUUUAGAAGCUACACUUCUACAGUGGGUCAUGCGGAACUCGUCUGCGGAUUACGCCCGGUGCUUUACCGCCUGACAAUUUCCAGCUGAAGCGAAAUAUCGCCUGACGGACAGCCGGCGCUGAUGACAAGGAACAGCUUCCCGUUUCGCCAUGGAUUCCAUUGGCCACACCGCACACCGAACGAACAGCACGCUGAUGCCAUCGUCUACGUCAGUGUCGUGUUUGUGGUCUUUGCCACCAUAGUUUUGCUGCUGCUGGCGACCACUUGCCGCACCAUACCCCCGGCAAGGGCGUCCCUCACCGCGGAAGAGCCCUGCGACAUGCCCCAACCUCUGCCCACGGUUGUGCACCUCAAGAAUUCCGGAGUUGGGGUACGCACCGAAACGUUCGCGGAAUCGAACAUCGUGUGAACUGUGCAUUUGGGGUCGGUAUUUCAAUGAGUUUGUUUAUGGGUGUUAAUUUAACAACAGCGCCGACAAACAACGCACAAGGUCAAUCCAUAGGCGUGGGCAGGGUACUAGAAUGGGGGGGGGGGGGGAGGACAAUUUUCAUUCUCACCGAAACCUGAAUCCAGUGACAUCGGAGCGGAGGUAAAAGAAAGACACGCUUCGCAAUAGAUUCAAAAACGAAAGCUUCGGUGCAGAGACUUCCUGGUGUAAAGAUGGGAGGUACACAGUUCUUCGAACGCAACAUUGUCCUCGGCCGCCAUGAUCGUUCAAAACAUGCGUUCAAAUAUCCCUGCACUUUAAGCACUGAUGGGACAGAACCGACGGAAUAAAGGUAUGUGCAUAGGCCUCCCUUAGAUAAUAAGGAGAGCACUCCCCCCGUCCCCCUGUGCACAUGCCUACUGUGACGACGAAGCCAUCGGACGAAGUCAUGGGUGUUCUUUUCUGUUAUUACUUGUCUCUGUACGUUUUGUAAUUUGCACGCUGUUCGGAAAUCCACUCUGAAAUGUGCCUGACGCUAUCGAAGAGCUUCGUGUGUUGACCAGUUUCGUACAUGACUUUCUACGCAAAGUCCAGAAAAGGUGUCGAACGGAAGGAAAGAUGUGUGCAAGCGGCGUCUUCGUUUCAAAGACGAGAAAUACCGGUCGGAACUUUUCCAAAAUAAAGAAAACAAAAAUAAAUAAACUUUCCGUGGAAACCUC